GUGGGGAAUCUUGCGCAAUGGGCGAAAGCCUGACGCAGCCAUGCCGCGUGAAUGAUGAAGGUCUUAGGAUUGUAAAAUUCUUUCACCGGGGACGAUAAUGACGGUACCCGGAGAAGAAGCCCCGGCUAACUUCGUGCCAGCAGACGCGGUAAUACGAAGGGGGCUAGCGUUGCUCGGAAUUACUGGGCGUAAAGGGCGCGUAGGCGGACAGUUUAGUCAGAGGUGAAAGCCCAGGGCUCAACCUUGGAAUUGCCUUUGAUACUGGCUGUCUUGAGUACGGGAGAGGUGGGUGGAACUCCGGGUGUAGAGGUGAAAUUCGUAGAUAUUCGGAAGAACGCCAGUGGCGAAGGCGACUCACUGGCCCGUUACUGACGCUGAGGCGCGAUAGCGUGGGGAGCAAACAGGAUUAGAUACCCUUGUAGUCC
rnacentral:rRNA from 1 species